AAAGAAUCCCAGUAUAGAAGUACUUUAUGAAUUAUUUAAGAAUAUACACUUUGAAUAGAUAAACUUAGGUUUCUAACCAUGAUGAAAUAAUUGGUAAUAGUCUUGCCCUCAUGCCCUACAUAAUUAAAAAACUGGACAAAAUAUGUAUGAAGCUCUUUCCAGGCAUGGAAUUGCAGGAAGCACAAGACUGUAAUCCUUGAAAGAAAGGAAAUAUUCACAGUUAGCCCCAUUAUUUGCCUAGGCUCUCAAAUUUGCCUACCCCCAGUAUUUGCCUAGACUUAUUCAUUAAAACUGUGGUAAUAUCAUGCUGAGCUAAGUAGGCAUAUAUCAAAGUUCAGUGUUGCUACAGUAGAAUUUUUUAGGCAGAAUACCAGAGAUAAGGAAUCUUUUCAGAAAGGUUAGCCAAAGACUGAGGGUUUCCCUCAACUCCUUUGCAAAGAGCAAACUCAACAUAUAAUGGAAAAAAAUUUGCAGCUUAAAAACUGGCUACUAUGUGGCUGAGUAGAAAGGAAAUUACCAGAAAUUUCAAAGUUCUGGGCAAUGUUGGAGUUCUGGCCCAGCCAUAGACACAGGUAACUUGCUGAGUACCUCAGCAUGCAGUUGAAACAUCAUAAAUGCCAAAUUUUACAAAUAAAACCAAGUCGUUGAGUUAAGGUCACACCACUGAACUAAAUCAAAGCCAAAAUAGAUUCACCCUAGUAAAGGAAAAACCCAAACCUAAAAGAAUUAAGAAGUUCUGCCAUAAUUUGAAAGAAGAUAUCCCUUGUGGACAUAGACUACAGGUCAGCCUCCUAAAUCCCUCUG
rnacentral:lncRNA from 1 species